rnacentral:rRNA from 1 species
UUCAAGUUUCUAAGAGCAAACGGUGGAUGCCUUGGCAUCUGGAGCCGAAGAAGGACGUAGUAAUCUGCGAUAAGCCUCGGGGAGCUGAUAAACGAGCUUUGAUCCGAGGAUCUCCGAAUGGGGAAACCCCGCUGGGCCCUUUA